AGCAGUCGCCGCGGUAAUACGAAGGGUGCAAGCGUUAAUCGGAAUUACUGGGCGUAAAGCGUGCGUAGGCGGUUUGUUAAGUCUGUUGUGAAAUCCCCGGGCUCAACCUGGGAAUGGCAAUGGAUACUGGCAAGCUAGAGUGUGUCAGAGGAUGGUGGAAUUCCCGGUGUAGCGGUGAAAUGCGUAGAGAUCGGGAGGAACAUCAGUGGCGAAGGCGGCCAUCUGGGACAACACUGACGCUGGGGCACGAAAGCGUGGGGAGCAAACAGGAUUAGAUACCCCAGUAGUCCCUGUCUCUUAUAC
rnacentral:rRNA from 1 species